rnacentral:tRNA from 2 species
GGUGAGGUGGAUGAGAGGCUGAAAUCAGCUCGCUGCUAAUGAGUCAGCCGGGAAACCGGCUCGCGGGUUCGAAUCCCGCCCUCACCGCCA